GCUGGGUAUAGACCCGAAACCAGGUGAUCUAUCCAUGAGCAGGUUGAAGGUUGGGUAACACUAACUGGAGGACCGAACCCACUGUCGUUGAAAAGCCAGGGGAUGACUUGUGGAUAGGGGUGAAAGGCUAAUCAAACUUGGUGAUAGCUGGUUCUCCCCGAAAGCUAUUUAGGUAGCGCCUCGGACGAAUACCAUUGGGGGUAGAGCACUGUUUCGGCUAGGGGGUCAUCCCGACUUACCAAACCGAUGCAAACUCCGAAUACCAAUGAGUACUAUCCGGGAGACAGACUGCGGGUGCUAACGUCCGUAGUCAAGAGGAAAACAAUCCAGACCGCCAGCUAAGGCCCCAAAAUUAUAGUUAAGUGGGAAACGAUGUGGGAAGGCAUAGACAGCUAGGAGGUUGGCUUAGAAGCAGCCACCCUUUAAAGAAAGCGUAAUAGCUCACUAGUCGAGUCGGCCUGCGCGGAAGAUGUAACGGGGCUAAAACUAUAUGCCGAAGCUGCGGAUGCAUAAUUUAUUAUGCGUGGUAGGGGAGCGUUCUGUAAGCCGAUGAAGGUGGAUUGAGAAGUCUGCUGGAGGUAUCAGAAGUGCGAAUGCUGACGUGAGUAACGACAAUGCGAGUGAAAAACUCGCACGCUGAAAGACCAAGGGUUCCAGUCCAACGUUAAUCGGGGCUGGGUGAGUCGACCCCUAAGGCGAGGCCGAGAGGCGUAGUCGAUGGGAAAUUGGUUAAUAUUCCAAUACUUCUGUGUAAUGCGAUGAGAGGACGGAGAAGGUUAAGUCAGCCUGGCGUUGGUUGUCCAGGUGGAAGGUUGUAGGCAUGUAUCUUAGGCAAAUCCGGGGUACUCUAUGCUGAGAACUGAUAGCAAGCUGUACUUGUACAGUGAAGUGGCUGAUACCAUGCUUCCAGGAAAAGUCUCUAAGCUUCAGUUACACAGGAAUCGUACCCGAAACCGACACAGGUGGUCAGGUCGAGUAGACCAAAGCGCUUGAGAGAACUCUGCUGAAGGAACUAGGCAAAAUGGUACCGUAACUUCGGGAGAAGGUACGCUGUUGUCUGUGAUAGGACUUGCUCCUUGAGCGGCCGACAGCCUCAGAAACCAGGCCCCUGCAACUGUUUAUUAAAAACAUAGCACUCUGCAAACACGAAAGUGGACGUAUAGGGUGUGAUGCCUGCCCGGUGCUGGAAGGUUAAUUGAUGGGGUUAGCGUAAGCGAAGCUCUUGAUCGAAGCCCCAGUAAACGGCGGCCGUAACUAUAACGGUCCUAAGGUAGCGAAAUUCCUUGUCGGGUAAGUUCCGACCUGCACGAAUGGCAUAAUGAUGGGGGCGCUGUCUCCAGCAGAGACUCAGUGAAAUCGAAUUCGCCGUGAAGAUGCGGUGUACCCGCGGCUAGACGGAAAGACCCCGUGAACCUUUACUGCAGCUUGACAUUGAACUUUGAUCUUACUUGUGUAGGAUAGGUGGGAGGCUUUGAAGUCGCGACGCUAGUUGCGAUGGAGCCGUCCUUGAAAUACCACCCUGGUAAUAUUGAGGUUCUAACUCUGUCCCGUUAUCCGGGACGAGGACCAUGUCUGGUGGGUAGUUUGACUGGGGCGGUCUCCUCCUAAAGAGUAACGGAGGAGUACGAAGGUGCGCUCAGCGUGGUCGGAAAUCACGCGUAGAGUAUAAAGGCAAAAGCGCGCUUAACUGCGAGACCCACAAGUCGAGCAGGUACGAAAGUAGGUCUUAGUGAUCCGGUGGUUCUGUAUGGAAGGGCCAUCGCUCAACGGAUAAAAGGUACUCUGGGGAUAACAGGCUGAUACCGCCCAAGAGUUCAUAUCGACGGCGGUGUUUGGCACCUCGAUGUCGGCUCAUCUCAUCCUGGGGCUGAAGCAGGUCCCAAGGGUAUGGCUGUUCGCCAUUUAAAGAGGUACGCGAGCUGGGUUUAGAACGUCGUGAGACAGUUCGGUCCCUAUCUACCGUGGGCGUUGGAAAUUUGAGAGGAUCUGCUCCUAGUACGAGAGGACCAGAGUGGACGAACCUCUGGUGUACCGGUUGUCACGCCAGUGGCAUCGCCGGGUAGCUAUGUUCGGAAGGGAUAACCGCUGAAAGCAUCUAAGCGGGAAGCCUACCUCAAGAUAAGAUUUCCCCGAGACUUUAUGUCUCCUAAAGAGCCGUUGAAGACUACGACGUUGAUAGGUUGGAUGUGGAAGCAUAGUGAUAUGUGAAGCUGACCAAUACUAAUUGCUCGUGAGGCUUGACUAUA
rnacentral:rRNA from 1 species